rnacentral:lncRNA from 1 species
CUAUGGAAAAGGGCCAGCUUGGAGACCAGAGGGUGUACGGGCUGUUCUUCAGCCUGCUGCAGCCUCCCUCAGCAUCCCCACCAUUCUCCCUUGGCCACGGCUUAUCGACAACAGAGAGAGACUGAGAAUUGAAAGAGCCCAGCUCCCCUCACCCGCGCUCCACCACCCAGCUCUGUAAGGCUGAAAGUCCACUUGGCCAGGCUCCUGACCCCAAGGGUGGUUCCAGUCCAGUUCCCCCAUCUCCUCUCCUCCCCAUUCCUGGGGUGGGGGACUGAGGCAGGGAGCUGGAACACUGAUGGGACCCAAGCCAAACCUUCCUAGGACCAGCAGGUCACAGAUAGACACUCUUGAACUGCUAAGGACCGUGAGGGUAGAGUGAGGGGCAGAGGAGAGACUGGCUCCCACUUCUCCCGGAGAGCGAGCAAGCUGGAGAGAGGUCUAUGAGGGUGGACAGAGCUGGGGACCAGUGGGGAGCUGACCGAGGCCAGAGCCGGGACCCCACACCUAACUGGAGGCUGCUCCCACCGCAUGGAGUGCUUCCCCGCAGGCCAGCUCUGAUGUCAUCCAUGGCAGUGCACUCUGGACCACAGGGCCUGCUCCCUCCUCGGAACAGCCAGCAGUGACUCCCUCCAUCAGCAGCUCCCAAAGGAGGGCUGGACACCGAGCUCACCAAAUUGAAAUCACUUCUCAUUAAAAAUAUAUAUACUUCCAAGAUUCAAACUUAAUAAGGCAGGGGUGGAUUCUGGGGUCUUUUUUUUUUUUAAAGAAGCUCCCCAGGCUAUUCAGAAGUGAAGCAAAUAUUUCCUUUGUAGCUCAGAGGAUAAGAAUCUGCCUGUCAAUGCAGGGGACUCAGGUUAGAUCCCUGGUCUCAGGAAGACCGCACAUGCCUUGGAGCAACUAAGCUCCGGCCGCAACUACUGAGCUGGCACGCUAGAGCCUUCUUCUCUUGUGCUCCACAAGAGAAGCCACCACAAUGAGAAGCCCCUGCACCCCAAGGAAGAGUAGCCCCCACUUGCUGCAGCUAGAGAAAGCCUGUGAAAAAGCAAUAAAGAUCCAGUGCAGCCAAAAAAAAAAAAAGUGAGGCAAAUGUGGUUUACAUCAUUCACUUGGCAAGUAAUCAUGUCCUGACUAGAGUUCUUGUAUAUGAUCUCCUUUAUUGUUAUUUAAUUCUUACCUUCAUUCACUCACAUUCAUCCAUUCAACAAAUGUUUACCAAGGGGAUUUGAAAUGUCGGAAACUCUUUUAUGUGUUGAUGUGAAUGAAAGAGGCACAGAUGCUGUUCGUGGAGAUGACAUUCCAGAGAGAUGUGAUAGUUGAAUAAUGGGCCACCAAGAUGUCAGUGUCCUGAGCCCCAGAAUUUGUGAAUUUAUUACUUCACAUGCCAAAGGGAUUUUGCUGGUGCGAUUAAGUUAAGGAUCUUAAUGGGGAAAUUACUUUGGAUUAUCCAGGUUUUUAAUCACAAGGGUCCUUAUAAGGGAAAAGAAGGAAGCAGCAGAGGUAGUGAGAGAAAAGAUGAUGUAAGGACAGAAGCAGAGGUCGAGGUGGUGUGAUUGUUGGCUUUGAAGAUGGAGUUGGCUUUGAAGACACUCAGGAAUCAAGGGCUGUGGGCAGCUCUAGAAGCUGAAAAAUGCAAGAAAACAGCUUUUCCCCCUCAUGCCUCCAAAAGGAAGGCUGCCCUGCCCUCCCCUAGACUUUAACCCUCUGAGUUCCAUUUUUGGACACCUGACCUACGGAAAUGUGAGAUAAUAGAUGUGUGUUGUUUGAAGCCACUAGAUCUGUGGUAAUUUGCUACAGCAGGGGAAAGAAAUAAAUACAAGGUAUAUCGGAUACUCACUUCUUGCCAGUAUGGGAUGAGCCUCCUCCACUAUAUCAUAAAUGUUUGAGGGCUCCGUGGGCUACAUUCUGGUCUUCUCUGCGGGCCCCCAGCAUGGCACUGGGCCCGCAGCCCUAGCUCAGUAUACAUCUGCUACAGAUUCCAGUCUCUUCUUGGGUUUGUCUGACUCUGAUGGAAGUGGCGUUCGGUAGAUUUUGGGUGGGAGGGGUACGCUUGUGGAGAUUAGAGAAAGGAGCUGUCCUUGACGGGAAGGAAGACCGGAAGGGUUCCGAGAGAAGCAUCUGCUGAGACUGCUUAACGCCUGAGGAGGGAACCUGAUGGAUAGAUAGGCGCGAAAGCAAUCAUAUUCGCCGUGUAAUUUCCUAUAUCUUAAUUUUUUAUAAUUGAUUUUUAACGAGAAAUUUACAUCUUACAUUUU